rnacentral:misc_RNA from 1 species
GAAAUGCGAAAAGUAGUGUGAAUUGCAGAAUUCCGUGAAUCAUCGAAUCUUUGAACGCACAUUGCGCCCCUCGGUAUUCCGUGGGGCAUGCCUGUUCGAGCGUCAUUUACACCCUCAAGCUCUGCUUGGUGUUGGGCGUCUGUCCCGCCAUCCACGCGUGGACUCGCCCCAAAGUUAUUGGCAGCGGUCGUACCAGCUUCUCGUGCAGCAAUCGCGCUUCUCGAAGCCCUGGUGGAUCGGCGUCCAGCAAGCCUUCUAUAACUUGACCUCGGAUCAGGUAGGGAUACCCGCUGAACUUAA